AACAGGAUUAGAUACCCUGGUAGUCCACGCCGUAAACGAUGUCGACUUGGAGGUUGUGCCCUUGAGGCGUGGCUUCCGGAGCUAACGCGUUAAGUCGACCGCCUGGGGAGUACGGCCGCAAGGUUAAAACUCAAAUGAAUUGACGGGGGCCCGCACAAGCGGUGGAGCAUGUGGUUUAAUUCGAUGCAACGCGAAGAACCUUACCUACUCUUGACAUCCAGAGAACUUUCCAGAGAUGGAUUGGUGCCUUCGGGAACUCUGAGACAGGUGCUGCAUGGCUGUCGUCAGCUCGUGUUGUGAAAUGUUGGGUUAAGUCCCGCAACGAGCGCAACCCUUAUCCUUUGUUGCCAGCGGUUAGGCCGGGAACUCAAAGGAGACUGCCAGUGAUAAACUGGAGGAAGGUGGGGAUGACGUCAAGUCAUCAUGGCCCUUACGAGUAGGGCUACACACGUGCUACAAUGGCGCAUACAAAGAGAAGCGACCUCGCGAGAGCAAGCGGACCUCAUAAAGUGCGUCGUAGUCCGGAUUGGAGUCUGCAACUCGACUCCAUGAAGUCGGAAUCGCUAGUAAUCGUGAAUCAGAAUGCCACGGUGAAUACGUUCCCGGGCCUUGUACACACCGCCCGUCACACCAUGGGAGUGGGUUGCAAAAGAAGUAGGUAGCUUAACCUUCGGGAGGGCGCUUACCACUUUGUGAUUCAUGACUGGGGUGAAGUCGUAACAAGGUAACC
rnacentral:rRNA from 1 species